rnacentral:lncRNA from 10 species
ACGGAGUCUUGCUCUGUUGACCAGGCUGGAGUACAGUGGCGCAAUCUCAGCUCACUGCAACCUCCGCCUCCUGGGUUCAAGCAAUUCUUGUGCCUCAGCAGAAAGAAACCUUUACCAGCUCCUCCUGCCUAAAGGUGAAGUCUACCAAAGUCCACAUUCCUGAGUGUGGAAGGUGAUCCUUUGCAGCCUGGCCCCAGCUCACCUGUUCAGCCUCCUCCUCCGACACCCUCAGGAAACCCCCUGCCUUCUGGCCCCAUCUAAUGCAUCUUGAUGUUCCCAGAAUGCAUCAGAGAACACCACCACUAAUGGGAAGACUGCCCCCUGACCGGCACAUGGCCUCAGCAUUCAUCCACAGAUGCUCCUCAAAUUGUUUUAAAAACAGCUUUUUUUAAAAGCUGUUUGUCUAUGAAGAUUAAAUGAGUUAAUAAUAUAAGCAAAGCACUUUGCAUGGCUACUGGGCACGGUGGUUCAUGCCUGUAAUUCCAGCACUUUGGGAGGCCGAAGCAGGUGGAUCACCUGAGGUCAGGAGUUCAAGACCAGCCUGAUCAACAUGGCGAAACCCUGUCUCUAUUAAAAAUACAAAAAAAAUAGCCGGGCAUGGUGGCACGUGCCUGUAAUCCCAGCUACUUGGGAGGCUAAGGCAGGAGAAUCGCUUGAACCUGGGAGGCAGAGGUUGCAGUGAGCCGAGACCUCGCCGUUGCACUCCAGCCUGGUUGACAGAGCAAGACUCUGUCUCAAAAAACAAAAAAACCCCAGCUUUUGUCCAGAGGUUGCUUUUUGUGGGUCUGUACGCUGAGGCCAAGUUCUAUGUAAGCAGAGCCCUCCCACCUCACCUCCAAACAAUGCCUCUAAACCAUCACAAUCUGAAAGGAAAAUAAAUCCCUUUCUUCAAUGGUGACCUGAAGCUAGCCAAGGACCGGGUGCUGGCAGGUGGCCUGCGAGACUGGGUCGGAUCCCGGGUUACUGUCUGAGGAGGGAUGCCGUGCUGUAAGGGUUGGGGAGCCAGUGUCUGGCUUCCUUGUCACCACAAGACCUGUGGUUUCCAGCUCUGUCUGCAUCCAGGUCCCACUAACCAACAGCAGGAGAGAAAACAGUUGUGCACACAGGCGGACGCGCACACGCGCACCUGGCCCCCCAGACGUGCACAGCCCUCAGAGGAAGUGGAGCACCAGAUGUUCUGGGUUUCCUGUUCGACGCUUCCACAGCUGGUCGAGUCUGUGGUUGUGGUUUGUCUGUCUCGGGCUCAUGUGAGAGACAAAAGCUGGGCUGACGGGAAACCUCUUCUCUCGGCCCCCACUCCCCAGCUCUGACUGAUUAGGAAACCUGGCAGGUCAGAAAUUUCCUGAAACACCCAGAGCUGGAUUCUCCCAAGAAGAAGCUGAACCCCCAACUCCCAUCCCUGAGGAGCAGCCCCUGGGCUGAUGAUCAGGACUUACAGAACCUGGGGCGAUGGAAACCUCUACAAAUAUCCCAUUUAGAAAGACCGCCAGCCCUGCCAACAGAAUGAAACGGAGGCCAGGUUGCUAUGGUCUCUACUCCAAUGCCUGACAUUGAGCCGCUGCUGCAAAACACUCAGCACAUGAAGGAAUGAAUGAGGAACAGAGAACUUCACCUUUGGGGGUUGGGUGUACAAGCCCCAACUGGGCCCCAAGUCCCAUAAAUAGCUUUGGAUUCCAACAUACAAGCAUUUGACGCAGCGAGGUGCUGCCGACUUGCUCUGUGACUUGGAGCAAGUCAUUUAGCCUCUCUGGGCCUGGUGUCCUCAUCUGCAGAAUGGAGAUGAUAAUAUCUACUUCACAAAGGUGUGAAGGCCCUGUGAGACACCGCAUGUGGAUUUCCUCGACAUUGUUUGCCCAUCGUAACUGCUCCAGAGAGGCUGGGCUCCCUUUUCUCGUUGCAACACUGCUGUUUAUUUCAGGAGAUACUCUAAAAGGGAAGCAAGCUAAAACAAAGAACAACCAAAAACACUGAUCCCGGGACAACUGCCCGGCAGGACAGCAGAGCAAGGGUACUUGGUGCUCUUCGUUGGGGGGAUGUUGGGAGAAGGGGCUGGAGCCAUCCCAGGGUCUCCAGGCUCUGGAAGGGAGCACCCCAUGUCCUCCUCUGGGUGUGGAAUAGGGUGAGUGUCUUAGGGGUGGAGAGAGAACAGGCAGAGUGUGCUCUCACCCCUUAGCUCUGUAGUGAUUUUAAUGAUUAAGGCUACUGUUCGGUCUGCAUUUGGACCUGAGCAACAGGGACCCCUGCCCAGAGGUCCAUCCUUCAGCAGCGUGCACUGCAUCCCCCUCCACUGCAGCUGACUCUAUGAGAUGAAGCAUCUGUCGCUCAGUGUAGCCAUCAGGUCCACUGCCCCUGAAAUAUGACUGACUAGGUUCAAAUGUUGACUCUGACACUUAGAAGCUGUGCCACCUUGGGGCAAGUUACUUCAUCUCUCUGUGCCUUACUUUCUUCCUUUAUAAAAUGGGUAAAAUAAUAACCACACCAUCGGUUGUCUAUGAAGAUUAAAUGAGUUGAUAAUAUAUGCAAAGCACUUAGCAUGGCUACUGGCACAAGGGUCAGUAAACGUUAACUGUUCCACACAUGAAUGUGUUUGAUUCUUAUAAUGCCCCAUGGGUAGAUUCUGUUAUUAGCUCUGUUUUACACAUGAGAAAACUUAGGCACAGGAGGUAAAGUAACAUUUGCAAGGUCACACCGUUAAGUAGCAAGGCUGAGGCUUUACUCCAGUUCUUUUUUUUUUUUUUUUUUUUGAGGCAUCUCACCAGGCUGGAGUGCAGUGGCACAAUCUCAGCUCACUGCAACCUCUGCCUCCCGGGCUCAAGCAAUUCUCCUGCCUCAGCCUCCCGAGUAGCUGGGAUUACAGGUGUGCACCACCAUGCCCGGCUAAUUUUUGUAUUUUUAGUAGAUACGGAGUUUCGUCAUGUUGGCCAGGCUGGUCUCGAACUCCUGACCUCAGG